GCGGUGGUUCCGGCGGUGGCUCCGGUGGGCUACGGAGGUGAUUCAACUUCCAGAGGCUUCCUCGUAAAUUUUUGGAAUUUUUGAGACACAGAUAAACUUCGGGUGAUCGAGGGCAGCUAUUUUUCUGCAUCCAGCAGCCACAAUAGUCAUCGGUGUACUGCCACAGGAGGAGUUAUUUUACAGAGCAACCUGUUUUCUUCCUUGCAGGUUUAACGUCGAUUAGUUAAUUGUUUUACUAUCUUUUCUAAAUUUAAAAUCUAGAACUCCGCAUGUGUUAGUAAUAGAGU